GCGUCCAUUGUCUAAUGGAUAAGACAGAGGUCUUCUAAACCUUAGGUAUAUGUUCAAAUCCUAUUGGACGUA
rfam:Vigna angularis cultivar Jingnong 6 chromosome 1, whole genome shotgun sequence.